AAUGAACGCUGGCGGCAGGCCUAACACAUGCAAGUCGAACGAGUGGCGGACGGGUGAGUAAUGUCUGGGAAACUGCCUGAUGGAGGGGGAUAACUACUGGAAACGGUAGCUAAUACCGCAUACCAUCGGAUGUGCCCAGAUGGGAUUAGCUAGUAGGUGGGGUAACGGCUCACCUAGGCGACGAUCCCUAGCUGGUCUGAAAGGAUGACCAGCCACGCUGGAACGUAGACCCGUGCCAGACUCUUACGGGAGGCAGCAGUGGGGAAUAUUGCACAAUGGGCGCAAGCCUGAUGCAGCCAUGCCGCGUGUAUGAAGAAGGCCGUCGGGUUGUAAAGUACUUUCAGCGGGGAGGCGUUACCCGCAGAAGAAGCACCGGCUAACUCCGUGCCAGCCGCCGCGGUAAUUC
rnacentral:rRNA from 1 species